rnacentral:rRNA from 2 species
GAGCGAACGCUGGCGGCAGGCUUAACACAUGCAAGUCGAGCGGGCGUAGCAAUACGUCAGCGGCAGACGGGUGAGUAACGCGUGGGAACGUACCUUUUGGUUCGGAACAACACAGGGAAACUUGUGCUAAUACCGGAUAAGCCCUUACGGGGAAAGAUUUAUCGCCGAAAGAUCGGCCCGCGUCUGAUUAGCUAGUUGGUGAGGUAACGGCUCACCAAGGCGACGAUCAGUAGCUGGUCUGAGAGGAUGAUCAGCCACAUUGGGACUGAGACACGGCCCAAACUCCUACGGGAGGCAGCAGUGGGGAAUAUUGGACAAUGGGCGCAAGCCUGAUCCAGCCAUGCCNNNUGAGUGAUGAAGGCCCUAGGGUUGUAAAGCUCUUUUGUGCGGAAGAUAAUGACGGUA